AUCUCUUGGUUCCAGCAUCGAUGAAGAACGCAGCGAAAUGCGAUAAGUAAUGUGAAUUGCAGAAUUCAGUGAAUCAUCGAAUCUUUGAACGCACAUUGCGCCCCUCGGUAUUCCGGGGGGCAUGCCUGUUCGAGCGUCAUUGCAACCCUCAAGCAAAUAGCUUGGUAUUGGGUCUU
rnacentral:rRNA from 1 species